GCGACUAAGUGAUUGUUGUUAAGUUCCACGACUGUGGGUGGAUGGAUUUUGCUUGACUGCUACGAUUUUGGUUAGAAGACUGCGACCGAGGUACCUAAGGCCAGUUUCUGAUCCAUGUCUUCAGCUGUACCUUUCCUGCUCUAUUCUGAUAAAUUUAUGCUUUGAUCCACAUCUUUUGAUCUCCUCAACUACAUUCCUUAAAAGAGUGGAUAUGAGUGUAUCUAACCAUGAAUAUGUCUCGUUUAC
rnacentral:lncRNA from 1 species